GCAACGUUCAUGAAAUACACACUGGGAAACAGAAUGCCCGAACUACCCAUGUAUAACUACUGCUCACAGAUCCCCAGUGGGACUGCAUGUGCAUUCUCUUCCAGAAGUCAAGAAAUUAGCAUCAGACAAGUAAGCCCGUGAAGACCCUUUUUGUUCAAGCUGUCAGAUGACUCUCGCAGAGGGGGAUAGUGGCUGCCACACUCUGUGCUUUGGGUCCUGUCUCUCUCUGCUGGCUCUCCUCUGAAGAGACCAACAUCUGGAGGUGCUGAGUUGAGGGGCUGCAGUCAUGCACAGAAUUUGCACAGUCCCAGUUCCAACCAUGAAACACAGAUACACAGACUAUUAACUAUACAGAAUCAAAAAAGUAGAGAGGUUGGAAAUUAUCUGCCUAUCUGCCUUCCUUUUAUGGACAACAGAAGGCUAAGGCGCAGGAGUAAUUCUAGGGGAAGACACCUCCCAAUUCCCCCAUUUAGU